rnacentral:sRNA from 1 species
UCUUUCAGGAACACUGGAUAUGCUCUAGCUCUCUUGAUGUCCUACUUUGCUUCAAUGGUGUCACCAUAUUCUCGCUCUCUUAGUAAGCUACUUCCCUGGGCUCCUAACGUCGUGUUUGGUGUCAUGUGUGUCACUAUUCCACUGGCGAUCCGCAGCCUUCCAGAGACAAUGAACAAGGAGCUGCCCCAUACCUUGGCGGACAUGGACAGAAACAUGAGGAAGGCGAUGAAGAAAUCGUGACAGUUAUAGAAACAGGACAGCUACAUUGACAGUGUCCAUGGAUGUCGAUCAGUUAUAAAAGCUGUAGUGAUUAUGAUCAUAUCUGUUUGUGUACCACUGGCUGACACCCGCCCUACCUGAUGUUACUGUUAUUUAUAUUAAUAUAUUAGUGAUCUUAUAAUUGAAGUUUUGCGAUUAGCAUAAAAGCUAUUGUUUGUAAGUGUCAAUUCAUCUUUCUGAGUUUAAUGAAAGUUGAUAACUGAGAAUAAAGUGUAUAUAUUGUUACUUACACCAAGGUAUAUAAUUGUACAUCUGAAUGUCUGGUUACGGAAUAAACUCUACUAUUAUAUUUAAAA